rnacentral:rRNA from 1 species
CAGUCGCCGCGGUAAUACAGAGGGUGCGAGCGUUAAUCGGAUUUACUGGGCGUAAAGCGCGCGUAGGUGGUUCAUUAAGUUGGAUGUGAAAGCCCUGGGCUCAACCUGGGAACUGCAUCCAAAACUGGUGAGCUAGAGUACGGUAGAGGGUAGUGGAAUUUCCUGUGUAGCGGUGAAAUGCGUAGAUAUAGGAAGGAACACCAGUGGCGAAGGCGACUACCUGGACUGAUACUGACACUGAGGUGCGAAAGCGUGGGGAGCAAACAGGAUUAGAUACCCCUGUAGUCCCUGUCUCUUAUAA